AGGUCAAGCUACUAAGGGUAGACGGUGGAUGCCUUGGUGCGAAGAGGCGAUGAAGGACGUGGCAAGCUGCGAAAAUCCUCGGUGAGUUGCAAGCUAACGAAGACCCGGGGGUGUCCGAAUGGGGGAACCCGAUUCUGAGAAAUCAGGAUCAUCUGCUCCUGAAUCUAUAGGGAGUAGAAGCGAACUCGGGGAAGUGAACCAUCUCAGUACCCGAAGGAAGAGAAAGAAAAUUCGAUUUCCUUAGUAGCGGCGAGCGAACAGGAAACAGCCUAAACCCAGGCCGGCUCUUUUGAAUCGGCUUGGGGGUCGUGGGACCUGGCAUAAACUUCCGAAAACUAGCCGAAGCGUGCUGGAAAGCCGCUCCAUAGAAGGUGAUAGACCUGUAGGCGAAAGUGGAAGGAAGGGGCCGGGUAUCCCGAGUACCACGGGACACGAGAAAUCCUGUGGGAAUCUGCGAGGACCAUCUCGUAAGGCUAAAUACUCCUUCGCAACCGAUAGUGAACUAGUACCGUGAGGGAAAGGUGAAAAGUACUCCUGCAAGGAGAGUGAAAUAGUACCUGAAACCGUUUACUUACAAGCAGUCGGAGCUUUGCCUUUGGCAAAGUGACGGCGUGCCUUUUGCAUAAUGAGCCGGCUAGUUAUUCUAGGCAGCAAGGUUAACCUGCAAAUAAGGGGGAGCCGAAGGGAAACCGAGUCUGAAUAGGGCGUUUUGAGUUGUCUGGAAUAGACGCGAAGCUGAGUGAUCUACCCUUGGCCAGGGUGAAGGCAGGGUAACACCUGUUGGAGGCCCGAACCAGUGUUGGUUGAAAACAACUUGGAUGAGCUGAGGGUAGGGGUGAAAGGCUAAUCAAACUCAGUGAUAGCUCGUUCUCCCCGAAAUAGCUUUAGGGCUAGCCUCGGGUGUUUUGUUCCGGAGGUAGAGCACUGGAUGGAUGAGGGACCCUCACCGGUUACCGAGUCCAACCAAACUCCGAAUGCCGGAAACAUCAGCCCGGGAGUCAGACUGUGGGGGCUAAGCUUCAUAGUCGAGAGGGAAACAGCCCAGACCGCCAGCUAAGGUCCCGAAGUGUGUGCUAAGUGGGAAAGGAAGUGGAGACACAGAGACAACCAGGAGGUUGGCUUAGAAGCAGCCAUCCUUGAAAGAAAGCGUAACAGCUCACUGGUCAAGCGUCUCCGCACCGACAAUGUAACGGGGCUCAAGCACACCACCGAAGCUGCGGGUUAUCGCGGAUCACACAGAUCUAAAUCGGAUGCUUUAGAUUUGCGUGAUCUGCGAUAGCGGUAGGGGAGCAUUGCCUGGGCAGUGAAGCAGAACUGUAAGGUUUUGUGGAGCGUAGGCAAGAGAAUCUGCCGGCAUAAGUAGCGAUAAAACUUGUGAAAAUCAAGUUCGCCGAAAGUCUAAGGUUUCCUGGGGAAGGUUCAUCCGCCCAGGGUUAGUCGGCCCCUAAGGCGAGGCCGAAAGGCGUAGUCGAUGGGAAACAGGUCAACAUUCCUGUACCACCGUAGUUCGUUAUGAGCAAUGGGGUGACGCAGAGGGAUAGGCGGUCCGGGUGAUGGAUAUCCCGGUCCAAGCGUGUAGGUAGGUCGCGCAGGCAAAUCCGCGUGGCCGUUACGCUGAGGCGUGAUGGGGAGUCCCGUGAGGGACGCAAACCCGCUAAUUCCGCACUGCCAAGAAAAACCUCUAGCCAGAACCAAGGUGACCGUACCGUAAACCGACACAGGUAGACGAGGAGAGAAUCCUUAGGCGCUUGAGAGAACUCUCGUUCAGGAACUCGGCAAAUUACCACCGUAACUUCGGGAGAAUGUGGGCCCUCAUGUAGGGGAAGUUCCUCGCGAAUGGAGCCGAAGGGGGUUGCAGAGAAUAGAUCCAGGCGACUGUUUACUAAAAACACAGGACUCUGCAAAGUCGUAAGACGACGUAUAGGGUCUGACGCCUGCCCGGUGCUGGAAGGUUAAAGAGAGAGGUUAGCUCCUUCGGGAGCGAAGCUUUGAACUGAAGCCCCAGUGAACGGCGGCCGUAACUAUAACGGUCCUAAGGUAGCGAAAUUCCUUGUCGGGUAAGUUCCGACCUGCACGAAUGGCGUAACGAUCUGGAUGCUGUCUUAACGAGAGACUCAGCGAAUUUGUAGUACCGGUGAAGAUGCCGGUUGCCCGCGACAAGACGGAAAGACCCCGUGCACCUUUACUAUAACUUAACCUUGGUGUCCGGUGCGUGAUGUGCAGGAUAGGUGGGAGGCUUUGAAGCUGGGUCGUCAGAUUCGGUGGAGCCACCCGUGAGAUACCACCCUUCUUGUAUUGAGCAUCUAACUUUGCUCCCUGAAUCGGGAGGAAGAACAGGGUUAGGCGGGUAGUUUGACUGGGGCGGUCGCCUCCUAAAAGGUAACGGAGGCGUACAAAGGUGGGCUCAGGCUGUUUGGAAAUCAGCCGUAGAGUGUAAAGGCAUAAGCCCGCUUGACUGCAAGACAGACAUGUCGAGCAGAGACGAAAGUCGGUCUUAGUGAUCCGGUGGUUCCGCAUGGAAGGGCCAUCGCUCAACGGAUAAAAGGUACGCCGGGGAUAACAGGCUAAUCUUGGCCAAGAGUUCAUAUCGACGCCAAGGUUUGGCACCUCGAUGUCGGCUCAUCGCAUCCUGGAGCUGAAGAAGGUUCCAAGGGUUCGGCUGUUCGCCGAUUAAAGCGGUACGUGAGCUGGGUUUAGAACGUCGUGAGACAGUUCGGUCCCUAUCUGUCGUGGGCGCAGGAGAUUUGAGGGGGGCUGACCCUAGUACGAGAGGACCGGGUUGGACGCACCUCUGAUGUACCAGUUGUUCCGCCAGGAGCACCGCUGGGUAGUCACGUGCGGAAGAGAUAAACGCUGAAUGCAUAUAAGCGUGAAGCUCGCCCCAAGAUAAGAUCUCCCUCCCGAGUAAUCGGGACUGAAGACCCCUUGGAGACGACAAGGUUGAUAGGCAGGCGGUGGAAGUCCGGCAACGGAUGAAGCUUACCUGUACUAAUCGGUCGUGAGGCUUGACCUAG
rnacentral:rRNA from 1 species